AGGAAGUAAACAGUCAUGGCGAUAUUUCUGUACCAAGAGAGGUCAAUAGUUAAACUGUUGACAACAGUUUUGCUCUCUUUUGUGUGCGUGCUUACUUCUCUCUUGGACACGGUAGAUUCAACUUCAUCUUUUAACGGUGGAGAAGACACGUUAUUUCGACGAGGCCGAGACGUUAGCCCGACUGCAGAGAGCCAACAGGUCAGACUGCACCCCGGUGUUGUCGCAUCAGUUGUCAUCGUUUCAUUAGCUGCCCUGGUGGCCGCAAUUUACAUCAUUCGGAAAUACUGCUUUCCACAGAAUGAUGCUGUGUUUAGGUACUCUGUCCUCAGACAGUUGGAGGAACAACAAAGCGCAAGUGUAUCUGAUGGACAUAGAUCAGAAUCGGAUGAGGAGCUCCUGGAGUAGUGACUGCCACCACCACCACAGAUGCCUAGCAGCAGCCAUGGGGAUCUCUCCUAUUGGACCAGCAGCCAUGGGAAUCACGCCCCCGCUGUAGCCUAUUGGAUGAUUUUGAUGCUUGCCGUUUUAAACAGAAGAUGCACACUGGCGCUAGUUUAGAGGAAAGUAUUGCAUGCAUUGCACUCCACAAUACUGAGAGAAUGAAUUAAAAGAUAAACUUCAGUCAAUUUCAACAUGAAGUUGUAAUGCUCACACACACUACCCUGGACUUGUCAGUACCUGAGGUUUUUUUCUUCUUCUUCUUCAGCCUUUUGCGAGAUCCUGGUCAUUGUAAUGGGGGCAGCGGUUUGUUUACAUUAAAAAAUAUGUAUAUAUAUAUUCCCAAAAACAUCCAAAAGGUUAUGCAACAUCGGCAGACAACUAGCAAACAGCGGCACCUUUUGGGAAAAUAUUUGGAGUAGGCCUAUGUUAUAUUUUUUUUUAAAUGUAAACAAAUGCUGCCCCCAUAACAAUAGCUCAUAUCUCUGAAAGGGCUGAGCCGAAAAAUGUGGCAUCACCGAAUACUGACAAGUCAAGGCUAGCGUAAGCAAUACAACAGCACAUGAAGUGGUCCUUUAAGUAACUCCUGACUGUUCGCAAUCAAACUCAAGUUUUUAUUUUGUGGGUUGACUUGACUUUGUGGUGUAUGACUAACUUGAGCAUCACAUGAAAAAGAGAAUCAUAUGUAUUAAUGCAUUUAAUAAUAGUAAUAGGUACUUUGACCUUAAAAAGGCCAUAUGUAUUAACUGCUGUUGCUAUCAUGCCUUACUCUUCCAAGGUUACAGGUAGGUAAAGAGCCAUGUGCAACCUCUAACCAGAGAUCUGCAGUCUCUCGGCCUGUCCCGAAAGUUGCCUUAACUUAACUCAUGACAACCUAACAGGUCUAAACACCUUUCCUAGAAUUGUCAGCAUGCGUUAAAUUGGCUUGCCCUCUGUUCGCAAGAUGAGUUGGAAAUGCGGUCAGACUUUGUGCACACUGGGGAUAGUUUAGAGCAGGGGUGUCAAACUCAAAUUGACCGAGGGCCAAAAUCAAAAUCUGGAUUGAAGUCGCGGGCCAAACUCAAUAUGUUUUUACAAAAAUGUACUAAAAUUGCUCAUGUUUAAAUUUAUGUUUGAACAGAUUCCCCUCAUAGUUCAAAUGUGCCUGCACAUAUUCUGUUGCAUUUCAUUGUGAGCUGUUUCAAUGGCCUGGGCCCACUCAUAUUUGUGUGAUAUUCAAAUUUUCAUGUUCAAAAUCUUAAUACGCUAUACAGUUGUGGUGUAUGUGGGCCAACUGUAAUACACAUUUCAAAUGACCUCGCGGGCCAAAUAAAAUGGUUCCGCGGGCCAAAUUUGGCCCCCGGGCCUGAGUUUGACAUCCCUGGUUUAGAGGAAAUCUUUGCAUGCACUCAACAAUCCUGAGGAUCUAGUUUUACUUCUUUAAGCCCAGAUGCACUCUGGGUAUUAAUGUGCAAAUAUGCUGCACCUUUGGCUCCACAGAUCUCUGGUUAAAGUUUACACAUGGCUCUUCAUUUUCCUACCCCUGGGGUUGUGUGUGUGUGCGUGUGCGUGUGUGUGUGAGUGACUGACAAUUGUGAGGAAUAAGAAUAAGGCUUUUUUUGGGCUGUCUCAGGUGUGGUUUAUAGGGCCCUGUCUGCACUUCAUAGUGUGUGACUGACAGGCACUUGUUUUAUUUUAUUUUAUUUUAUAUCCUUUUCUCUGGCCCUGCAUGCAAGGGGCUUUAAGGGCUGUUAGCAGCCUGACUAAAUCAGUCAGGCCAACUUGGAUUGUGAUUGUGUCGAUUUUUUUUAUUUUCUUUUACUGUUAUUGACACUCAUCUGGUGUUAGCUUCAUAGCUGUGGAUAUAAUACAUUAGCUUUUUGCUGUUGUUGUUGUUGUUAUUGUUGUUCUGCUUUGAAAAUCAGUUCUCAUUUGAAAGUAUUGUAAGUAUUUCAGACGCACUAUUUAGUUUGAGUUCAGUUGCACUUGUGGGGUUUUCAGCACGGAACAUCUGAUAUUUCUUGCACCUAGAUCAUUUUUAUUUAAACACUGAAAAAGUGACGUAUCAUACCAAAGAGUCUUAAAUGAAUCAGGCACCUUUGUUUCUCAUACCUCAGUCUGUGACUAGAACAGACACUCCAUAGCAUAAUACUCAGUGUACAGGCUGAGCAAGGUAAAUAGGAUUUAAAAAGUGUGAUGUAGAUGAAUGGACGCGUGUCUGUCUGUCUGUCUGUCUGUCUGUCUGUCUGUCUGUCUGUCAGUUAGUGUGUGUGUUGCGUGUGCUUUUGUUUCUAAUGGGUUUUUCCAUAUUAUAAAACAGAUGAAUUUUGUUAAGCCUUACAUGACUAAUGUGAAAAUCGGCAUGUUGUGCAAUACUGUUCAUCUCCUAAUGGCCCAGAGCAUUGCAGUGGGAUGAAAAUACGGGAGCGUACCUAUGUUCCCCGGGUCCUAUGUUCCCCGGGUCCUAUGUUCCCCCUCUCCUAUA